UUGACCGUGCAAAGGUAGCAUAAUCAUUAGUCUAUUAAUUGUUGACUUGUAUGAAUGGUUUCACGAAAUAUUAACUGUCUCAUUUUUAUACAUAUAAUUUAAUUUUUGAGUUAAAAAGCUUAAAUUUUAUUGUAGGACGAGAAGACCCUAUAGAUCUUUAUUUAUUUAUUUCUAGGCUUUUUUUGUUUAUUAUUUGUUUAUAAAUAUAUAUAUUUAGUUGGGGUGACUAUUGGAUAUAAUUAACUCUUUAUUUUAUUAUACAUUUAUUUAUGAAUAAUUGACCUAAUAUUAUUGUUUACAAGAUUAAGAUACCUUAGGGAUAACAGCGUAAUUUUCUUUAAGAGUUCAUAUCAACAAGAAAGAUUGCGACCUCGAUGUUGGAUUAAGAUUAAUUUAGGUGUAGAAGUUUAAAUUUUUAGGUCUGUUCGACCUUUAAUAUCUUACAUGAU
rnacentral:rRNA from 1 species